GCUGGCGGAAUGCGUGGUGUAGCGGUGAAAUGCUUAGAUAUCACGCGGAACGCCGAUUGCGAAGGCAGCUGGCCGGGCCGAGAUUGACGCUGAGGCACGAAAGCGUGGGGAUCAAACAGGAUUAGAUACCCUGGUAGUCCACGCCGUAAACGAUGAUCACUGGAUGUUGGCGAUACACCGUCAGCGUCUGAGCGAAAGCAUUAAGUGAUCCACCUGGGGAGUACGGUCGCAAGAUUGAAACUCAAAGGAAUUGACGGGGGCCCGCACAAGCGGAGGAACAUGUGGUUUAAUUCGAUGAUACGCGAGGAACCUUACCUGGGCUCGAACGCAGGGGGAGUCACGGUGAAAGCCGUGAGCCAGCAAUGGCCGCCUGCGAGGUGCUGCAUGGUUGUCGUCAGCUCGUGCCGUGAGGUGUCGGGUUAAGUCCCAUAACGAGCGCAACCCCUACUGCUAGUUGCCAGCGGAUCAUGCCGGGGACUCUAGCGGAACUGCCAGCGUAAGCUGUGAGGAAGGUGGGGAUGACGUCAAAUCAGCACGGCCCUUACGUCCAGGGCUACACACGUGUUACAAUGGCCAGUACAGAGGGCAGCCACCCCGCGAGGGGGCGCGAAUCCCAAAAGCUGGUCCCAGUUCGGAUCGGAGUCUGUAACCCGACUCCGUGAAGCUGGAUUCGCUAGUAAUCGCGCAUCAGCCACGGCGCGGUGAAUACGUUCCCGGGCCUUGUACACACCGCCCGUCAAGCCAUGGAAGCUUGGGGUACCUGAAGUCCGUGACCGAAAGGAGCGGCCUAGGGUAAAACAGGUAACUAGGGCUA
rnacentral:rRNA from 1 species